rnacentral:rRNA from 1 species
UACAGAGGGGGCAAGCGUUGUUCGGAAUUACUGGGCGUAAAGGGCGCGUAGGCGGCCUUCUAAGUCGAACGUGAAAUCCCUGGGCUCAACCCAGGAACUGCGUCCGAUACUGGAAGGCUUGAAUCCGGGAGAGGGAUGCGGAAUUCCAGGUGUAGCGGUGAAAUGCGUAGAUAUCUGGAGGAACACCGGUGGCGAAGGCGGCAUCCUGGACCGACACUGACGCUGAGGAGCGAAAGCCAGGGGAGCAAACGGGG